rnacentral:misc_RNA from 1 species
UCCGAGUUGACCCCGGCAGUCUCCUAUGAGUCCCCACCAUGACGUGCUGGCAACAUAGAACGAGGGUUGCGCUCGUUGCGGGACUUAACCCAACAUCUCACGACACGAGCUGACGACAGCCAUGCAGCACCUGAGCAGGAUGCCCUUGCGGGCUCAUCCCCCUUUCAGGUUCUUACUACCUGCUUGUCAAGCCCUGGUAAGGUUCUUCGCGUUGCGUCGAAUUAAACCACAUGCUCCACCGCUUGUGCGGGCCCCCGUCAAUUCCUUUGAGUUUCAGUCUUGCGACCGUACUCCCCAGGCGGAGUGCUUAAUGUGUUGACUUCGGCACAGCAGGGGUCGAUACCCGCUACACCAAGCACUCAUCGUUUACGGCGUGGACUAC